rnacentral:rRNA from 1 species
UACGGAGGGUGCGAGCGUUGUUCGGAUUCACUGGGCGUAAAGGGUGCGUAGGCGGUCGGGUAAGUCUGAUGUGAAAUCUCACAGCUUAACUGUGAAACUGCAUUGGAUACUAUUCGGCUUGAGAGUUGGAGGGGGGACUGGAAUUCUUGGUGUAGCAGUGAAAUGCGUAGAUAUCAAGAGGAACACCAGUGGCGAAGGCGAGUCCCUGGACAACUUCUGACGCUGAGGCACGAAAGCUAGGGGAGCAAACAGG